rnacentral:rRNA from 1 species
UACGGGGGGGGCAAGCGUUGUUCGGAAUUACUGGGCGUAAAGGGCUCGUAGGUGGCCAACUAAGUCAGACGUGAAAUCCCUCGGCUUAACCGGGGAACUGCGUCUGAUACUGGAUGGCUUGAGUUUGGGAGAGGGACGCGGAAUUCCAGGUGUAGCGGUGAAAUGCGUAGAUAUCUGGAGGAACACCAAUUGCGAAGGCAGCUCGCUGGGACGUGACUGACGCUGAGACGCGAAAGCGUGGGGAGCAAACAGG